rnacentral:rRNA from 1 species
AGUACUUUCAGCGGGGAGGAAGGUGAUAAGGUUAAUACCCUUGUCAAUUGACGUUACCCGCAGAAGUAGCACCGGCUAACUCCGUGCCAGCAGCCGCGGUAAUACGGAGGGUGCAAGCGUUAAUCGGAAUUACUGGGCGUAAUGCGCACGCAGGCGGUCAAUUAAGUCAGAUGUGAAAGCCCCGAGCUGAACUUGGGAAUUGCAUCUGACACUGGUUGGCUAGAGUCU